UCAUAAGGAUGACAAUCAAAGAACACCUCAUGUUUCAAAUUUGUCACACAACGGUUACCAUACGUGCAUGCUACGGGACUUGCAAACCUCAACGCAAGUAUUUAUCAAAUUCACAAAUACUCAACUAGCACGACUCUAAUAUCACCAUCUUUAUAUCUCAAAACAAUUAUCAAGUAUCAAACUUCUCAUAGUAUUCAAUGCACUCUAUAUGAAAGUUUUUAUUAUAUCCCUCUUGGAUGCCUAUCAUAUUAGGACUAAAUUCCUAACCAAAGCAAAUUACCGUGCUGUUUAAGACUCUCAAAAUAAUAUAAGUGAAGCAUUAGAGUUCAUCUAUUUCUUCAAAAUAAAACCACCGCCGUGCUCUAAAAGGAUAUAAGUGAAGCACUAGAGCAAACGACAAACUACUCCGAAAGAUAUAAGUGAAGAUCAAUGAGUAGUCGAAUAAUUAUGUAACUAUGUGAAGACUCUCUAACAUUUAAGAAUUUCAGAUCUUGGUAUAUUAUUCAAACAGCGAGCAAAAAAAAAUAAAAAAAAUGACGCUCCAUGCAAAACACAUAUCAUGUGGUGAAUAAAAAUAUAGCUCCAAGUAAAGUUACCGAUGAACAAAGACGAAAGAGGGGAUGCCUUCCGGGGCAUCCCCAAACAUAGGCUCUUGGUUGUCCUUGAAUAUUACCUUGGGGUGCCUUGGGCACCCCAAGCUUAGGCUCUUGCCACUCCUUAUUCCAUAGUCCAUCGAAUCUUUACUCAAAACUUGAAAACUUCACAACACAAAACUUAACAGAAAACUCGUAAGCUCCGUUGGUAUAAGAAAAUAAAUCACCACUUAGGUACUGUUGUGAACUCAUUCUAAAUUCAUAUUGGUGUAAUAUCUACUGUAUUCCAACUUCUCUAUGGUUUAUAAACUCUUUUACUAGCCGUAGAUUCAUCAAAAUAAGCAAACAACACAUAGAAAACAGAAUCUGUCAAAAACAGAACAGUCUGUAGUAAUCUGGUAACUUUCCAUACUUACGUAACUCCAAAAAUUCUACCAAAUUAGGAAAACCUGAGAAAUUUGUGUACCAACCCAUAGAAAAAAGAAUCAGAUCAAAAGCACGUUUCUGUGAAUUAUGAACCUAAUUUACUUGGCGCAAAAGUUUCUGAUUUUCAGCAGGAUCAACACAACUAUCACCGUAAGCUAUCCUAAAGGUCUUACUUGGCACUUUAUUGAACAAAAGCUAUAAAACAUGAUUACUACAGUAGCAUAAUCAUGUGAAGACACAAAAACAGUAAAGGUAAAUAUUGGGUUGUCUCCCAACAAGCGCUUUUCUUUAUUGCCUUUUUAGCUAGGCAUGAUGAUUUUAAUGAUGCUCACAUAAAAGAUAAGAACUGGAACAUAAAGAGAGCAUCAUGAAGCAUAUGACAAGCACAUUUAAGCCUAACCCACUUCCUAUGCAUAGGGAUUUUGUGAGCAAACAACUUAUGGGAACAAUUAUUAACUAGCAUAGGAAAGCAAAACAAGCAUAGCUUCAAGAUUUUCAACACAUAGAGAGGAAACUUGAUAUUAUUGCAACUCCUACAAGCAUAUAUUUCUCCCUCAUAAUAAUUUUUAGUAGCAUCAUGAAUGAAUUCAACAAUAUAACCAUCACAUAAAUCAUUCCUUUCAUGAUCUACAAGCAUAAAAAAAUUAUUAGUCUCCACAAAAGCAAAUUUGUUCUCAUGAAUAGUAGUGGGAGCAAAUUCAACAAAAUAACUAUCAUGUGAAGCAUAAUCCAAUUGAAAAUUAAAAUCAUGAGGACAAGUUUCAUGGUUAUCCUUAUUCUUUGUAGCAUAUGUGUCAUCACAAUAAUCAUCAUAAAGAGGAGGCAUGCUUUCAUCAUAAUAAAUUUUCUCAUCAAAACUUGGGGGACUAAACAUAUCAUCUUCAUCCAACAUAGCAUCCCCAAGCUUGUGGCUUUGCAUAUCAUUGGCAUCAUGGGUAUUCAAAGAAUUCGUACUAACAACAUUGCAAUCAUGUUCAUCAUUCACAUAUUUUAUGCCAAGUAUUCUAUGUAAUUCUUCUUCUAGUACUUGAGCACAAUUUUCCUUCCCAUCAUUUUCACGAAAGACAUUAAAAAGAUGAAGCAUAUAAGGUAACCUUAAUUCCAUUUUUUGUAGUUUUAUUUUAUAGACUAAACUAGUGAUAAAACAAGAAACUAAAAGAUUCGAUUGCAAGAUCUAAAGAUAUACCUUCAAGCACUCACCUCCCCGGCAACGGCGCCAGAAAUUAUCUUGAUGCCUACUACGCAACCUUCUCCUUGUAGACGUUGUUGGGCCUCCAAGUGCAGAGGUUUGUAGGACAGUAGCAAAUUUCCCUCAAGUGGAUGACCUAAGUUUUAUCAAUCCGUGGGAGGGGUAGGAUGAAGAUGGUCUCUCUCAAGCAACCCUGCAACCAAAUAAAAAAGAGUAUCUUGUGUCCCCAACACACCCAAUACAAUGGUAAAUUGUAUAGGUGCACUAGUUCGGCGAAGAGAUGGUGAUACAAGUGCAAUAUGGAUGGUAGAUACAGGUUUUCGUAAUAUGAAAAUAUAAAAACAACAAGGUAGGAAGCGAUAAAAGUGAACAUAAACGGUAUUGCAAUGCUAGGAAACAAGGCCUAAGGUUCAUACUUUCACUAGUGCAAGUUCUCUCAACAAUAAUAACAAAAUUGGAUCAUAUAACUAUCCCUCAACAUGCAACAAAGAGUCACUCCAAAGUCACUAAUAGCGGAGAACAAACGAAGAGAUUAUUGUAGGGUACGAAACCACCUCAAAGUUAUCCUUUCGGAUCGAUCUAUUCAAGAGUCCGUAGUAAAAUAGCACGAAGCUAUUCUUUCCGUUCGAUCUAUCAUAGUGUUCGUACUAGAAUAACACCUUAAGAUACAAAUCAACCAAAACCCUAAUGUCACCUAGAUACUCCAAUGUCACCUCAAGUAUCCGUGGGUAUGAUUAUACGAUAUGCAUCACACAAUCUCAGAUUCAUCUAUUCAACCAACACAAAGAACAUCUAAGAGUGCCCCAAAGUUUCUAUCGGAGAGUCAAGACGAAAACAUGUACCAACCCCCAUGCAUAAGUUCACAAGGUCACUGAACCCGCAAGUUGAUCACCAAAACAUACAUCAAGUAGAUCACGUGAAUAUCCCAUUGUCACCACAGAUAAGCACAUGCAAGACAUACAUCAAGUGUUCUCAAAUCCUUAAAUACUCAAUCCGAUAAGAUAACUUUGAAGGGAAAACUCAAUCCAUUACAAGAGAGUAGAGGGGGAGAAACAUCAUAAGAUCCAACUAUAAUAACAAAGCUCGUGAUACAUCUAGAUCGUGCCGAAUCAAGAACGCGCGCGCGAGAGAGAGAGAUCAAACACAUAGCUACUGGUACAUACCCUCAACCCCGAGGGUGAACUACUUCCUCCUCGUCAUGGAGAGCGUCGGGAUGAUGAAGAUGGCAACCGGUGAGGGAUCCCCCUCCGGUAGGGUGCCGGAACAGGGUCCCGGUUGGUUUUUGGUGGCUACAGAGGCUUGCGGCGGCGGAACUCCCGAUCUAGGUUGUUUUUUUGGAGGUUUCUAUAUUUAUAGGAAUUUUUGGCGUAGGUCUCACGUCAGGGGGGUCUCCGAGUCGUCCACGAGAUAGGGGGCGCGCCCAGGGGGUAGGGCGCGCCCCCCACCCUCAUGGACGGCCCGAGACUCUUCUGCCCAACUCUUUUACUCCAGGGGCUUCUUUUGGUCCAUAAAAAAUCGUCAAAAAUUUGCAUGUUAAUUGGACUCCGUUUGGUAUUCCUUUUCUGUAAAACUCAAAAACAAGGAAAAAAACAGAAACUAGCACUGGGCUCUAGGUUAAUAGGUUAGUCCCAAAAUCAUAUAAAAUAGCAUAUAAAUGCAUAUAAAACAUCCUAGAUGGAUAAUAUAAUAGCAUGGAACAAUCAAAAAUUAUAGAUACGUUGGAGACGUAUCAGCAUCCCCAAGCUUAAUUCCUGCUCGUCCUCGAGUAGGUAAAUGAUAAAAACAGAAUUUUUGAUGUGGAAUGCUACCUAACAUAAUUAUCAAUGUAGUUUUCUUUAUUGUGGCAUGAAUGUUCAGAUUCGAAAGAUUCAAGACAAAAGUUUAAUAUUGACAUAAAAAUAAUAAUACUUCAAGCAUACUAACUAAGUAAUUAUGUCUUCUCAAAACAACAUGGCCAAAGAAAGCUCAUCCCUACAAAAUCAUAUAGUUUGGACAUGCUUCAUUUUCGUCACACAAAAUGCUCCCAUCAUGCACAACCCCGAUGACAAGCCAAGCAAUUGUUUCAUACUUUAGUAUUCUCAAAAAAUUUCAACUUUCACGCAAUAUAUGAGCGCGAGCCAUGGACAUAGCACUAUGGGUGGAAUAGAAUAUGAUGAUGGCGGUUGUAUGGAGAAGACAAAAAGGGAGAAAGUCUCGCAUCAACGCGGCUAAUCAACGGGCUAUGGAGAUGCCCAUCAAUUGAUGUCAAUGCGAGGAGUAGGGAUUGCCAUGCAACGGAUGCACUAGAGCUAUAAAUGUAUGAAAGCUCAACAAAAGAAACUAAGUGGGUGUGCAUCCAACUUGCUUGCUCACGAAGACCUAGGGCAUUUCGAGGAAGCCCAUCGUUGGGAUAAACAAGCCAAGUUCUAUAAUGAAAAAUUCCCACUAGUAUAUGAAAGUGACAAAAUAAGAGACUCUCUAUCAUGAAGAUCAUGGUGCUACUUUGAAGCACAAGUGUGGAAAAAGGAUAGUAGCAUUGUCCCUUCUUUUUUUUGGGCCUUCCUUUUUUUAUUUGGCCUUUCUCUUUUUUUUUGGCCUUUCCUUUUUUUAUUUGGCCUUUCCUUUUUUUCAUGGGACAAUGCUCUAUUAAUGAUGAUCAUCACACUUCUAUUUAUUUACAACUCAAUGAUUACAACUCGAUACUAGAACAAAAUAUGACUCUAUAUGAAUGCCUCCGGCGGUGUACCGGGAUGGGCAAUGAAUCAAGAGUGACAUGUAUGAAAAAUUAUGCAUGGUGGCCUUGCCACAAAUACGAUGUCAACUACAUGAUCAUGGAAGGCAAUAUGACAAUGAUGAAGCGUGUCAUAAUAAAUGAAACGGUGGAAAGUUGCAAGGCAAUAUAUCUCGGAAUGGCUAUGGAAAUGCCAUAAUAGGUAGGUAUGGUGGCUGUUUUGAGGAAGAUAUAGGGGGGUUUAUGUGUGAUAGAGCGUAUCAUAUCACGGGGUUUGGAUGCACCGGCGAAGUUUGCACCAACUCUCAAUGUGAGAAAGGGCAAUGCACGGUACCGAAGAGGCUAGCAAUGAUGGAAAGGUGAGAGUGCGUAUAAUCCAUGGACUCAACAUUAGUCAUAAAGAACUCACAUACUUAUUGCAGAAAUCUACAAGUCAUCAAAAACCAAGCAUUACGCGCAUGCUCCUAGGGGGAUAGAUUGGUAGGAAAAGACCAUCGCUCGUCCCCGACCGCCACUCAUAAGGAUGACAAUCAAAGAACACCUCAUGUUUCAAAUUUGUCACACAACGGUUACCAUACGUGCAUGCUACGGGACUUGCAAACCUCAACGCAAGUAUUUAUCAAAUUCACAAAUACUCAACUAGCACGACUCUAAUAUCACCAUCUUUAUAUCUCAAAACAAUUAUCAAGUAUCAAACUUCUCAUAGUAUUCAAUGCACUCUAUAUGAAAGUUUUUAUUAUAUCCCUCUUGGAUGCCUAUCAUAUUAGGACUAAAUUCCUAACCAAAGCAAAUUACCGUGCUGUUUAAGACUCUCAAAAUAAUAUAAGUGAAGCAUCAGAGUUCAUCUAUUUCUUCAAAAUAAAACCACCGCCGUGCUCUAAAAGGAUAUAAGUGAAGCACUAGAGCAAACGACAAACUACUCCGAAAGAUGUAAGUGAAGAUCAAUGAGUAGUCGAAUAAUUAUGUAACUAUGUGAAGACUCUCUAACAUUUAAGAAUUUCAGAUCUUGGUAUAUUAUUCAAACAGCGAGCAAAACAAAAUAAAAUAAAAUGACGCUCCAUGCAAAACACAUAUCAUGUGGUGAAUAAAAAUAUAGCUCCAAGUAAAGUUACCGAUGAACGAAGACGAAAGAGGGGAUGCCUUCCGGGGCAUCCCCAAGCUUAGGCUCUUGGUUGUCCUUGAAUAUUACCUUGGGGUGCCUUGGGCACCCCAAGCUUAGGCUCUUGCCACUCCUUAUUCCAUAGUCCAUCGAAUCUUUACUCAAAACUUGAAAACUUCACAACACAAAACUUAACAGAAAACUCGUAAGCUCCGUUGGUAUAAGAAAAUAAAUCACCACUUAGGUACUGUUGUGAACUCAUUCUAAAUUUAUAUUGGUGUAUUAUCUACUGUAUUCCAACUUCUCUAUGGUUUAUAAACUCUUUUACUAGCCGUAGAUUCAUCAAAAUAAG
rnacentral:lncRNA from 1 species